rnacentral:ncRNA from 1 species
CCAAAGGACUUCUUAAAGUCCAUAAAAUUUCCCUUUAAACACCCCU